rnacentral:rRNA from 1 species
GACAAGGUUCCAGGCCCUACGGGGUGCAGCAGGCGCGAAACCUCCGCAAUGUGAGAAAUCGCGACGGGGGGAUCCCAAGUGCCAUUCUUAACGGGAUGGCUUUUCAUUAGUGUAAAGAGCUUUUGGAAUAAGAGCUGGGCAAGACCGGUGCCAGCCGCCGCGGUAACACCGGCAGCUCUAGUGGUAGCAAUUUUUAUUGGGCCUAAAGCGUCCGUAGCCGGUUUAAUAAGUCUCUGGUGAAAUCCUGUAGCUUAACUGUGGGAAUUGCUGGAGAUACUAUUAGACUUGAGACCGGGAGAGGUUGGAGGUACUCCCAGGGUAGAGGUGAAAUUCUGUAAUCCUGGGAGGACCGCCUGUUGCGAAGGCGUCUAACUGGAACGGUUCUGACGGUGAGGGACGAAAGUUAGGGGCGCGAACCGGAUUGGAUACCCGGGUAGUCCUAACUGUAAACGAUGCGGACUUGGUGUUGGGGUGGCUUUGAGCUGCUCCAGUGCCGAAGGGAAGCUGUUAAGUCCGCCGCCUGGGAAGUACGGUCGCAAGACUGAAACUUAA